rnacentral:snoRNA from 1 species
UCGAGAUGAGUUUUUUUUAGAUGACGAGUCUGAAAUGCUGCCAAAGAGUUUCUCUGAGGCAGCAGUCCUUGACGAUACUAUAAAAUUAUACCAUUCAUGCUUUUCUGAAC